UGGGCCAUAGAUCCCGCACGCACAUGGGACAGGGUCACGUUCUCAUCCUCUUCUAGCCGCCUCUCUCUCAACAUGUGCAGCCCACGCCGCCGUAUGCGGCUGCCCAGCCUCCUCCGUCCUACCUUGCUGCCGUUAGCUCUGCCCUACCCCAUCCCGCCCUCUAUCAAGGAUCUCCACCGAUUCAAGCGGGUCUCUCAGAUCCAAAACAAAAUUCGUGUGAGAGAUUUGGGGCUGAUUGAUCAAUCCUUGGUUGGGAUCUAGGCACGUCUAUGGGGAAGAUAGUGGUGGUUGUGUGCGUCGCGGUGGGACGACAAUGUUUACGCUGGUGCCAGCGGUGGAAGGGGUGGAGCUUGUGGGCUCCAUGGAGGCUAACUUGAAGACGAAGGUGGCGGCGGUGAUUAAGGAGGUGGCCCGCACGCUCCUUGAGCUCGAUUAAUUCGAUGUAAACCUUGAUGCAAAAGGAAGCUCCAUGAAGAAGGGAUUGAAAAUCCAACAUCACAACAUAUAUAAGAUUUCUUAUUUUCAUGAUUAGCAAAGUUAUUGCAGACUGCUUGUUUGUUGUCUGAUAAAACACAUCUCUGAAAAUUCAGUAGACCCUUUGAUCGAGUUUACAUCUGUUAUCGUGUCUGUUCCAAAUUUGAUUUAGGUCUAUAGGCAAGGGCUAAACUGAAUCAUGCUACUACACAAGGGCUAAACUAAACCAUACUACUACUUCCUACAUGCCCAAUUACCGAUGAUAGGAACUAACAGUUGGGCUGGGCGAUGUUCCCAUGCAUGGUCGCGCUAUGUUAAUUAGUGUGUGCUGACCGUAACAUGUUACUAUUAUUUUUCCGCAGAGGAGCGAGGGCCUGGCGAAGCACGUGGACCAGUUAUCAUUACUGUGGAUUUUGCACGACACGCGUGCUUCGGUCUAAUUAGCGCGUACUCUAAGAAAUAAAGUGCGCAGACUUAAUUUAGCAUGUCUAAACACUUUCUUUGACUGCUAAAUUUAGAACUGCUACUUGGUACGCACUAUUAAUUUUCAUACUGAUAGGCUUAACCAAAUGUUGUAUCAAUUGGGUAAAGUACUCCAUUGCACUUCCAGGCAAACUUCAGCAAUUAGUCAGAAUCCAAUGUCACCAUGAUUGGUAUUAUGGGUAUCCAUUAGUACUACCAACAUACUGUAGCCAGGUACAAUCAGUACGGACAUGCACUAAUCAGCAUCACCUCUGCAUCCUAAUUAUGCAGUGAACUUGCCGCUGAUCAAUUACAAUUUUGAAAUAAUGCUGAAACUCUCACACUUUUUCUUGGCAGAAAACAGCUUACAGAAUAUAGCCAAUCUAUUUUUUGUAUGAAUCCGAGCUUACUAAUUUAUUCAUCUGGAGAUAAAUUGAUUGUAGUUUGACACUUGGUUGUUGCUUCCUUGUUUUUCAAAUGUACGCCCCUUUCAAGCACACACUAGGUUGAUUCAGAUAUUGUAGAACUCUGCAUUGUAUUAUAUAUAUUAUUUCUGUUGUUUUUCAGCUUAGCAGAAAAUUUCAUUCGAAGAUUUGACUAGCAUCCAACCAGAGGAAUAACCCGAAGGGUUAGCAAUCUUACAAGUUUGAAAAGUGUGACAAUAGUAGGGAUUUUGUUUUUCUGGUAACACAGUACUUGGUCAGGUUUUACAGUGUGGUUGCAGGUCUCAUAGGUGUGAAAGCUUUGCUAUAUGUAUGUUGUUGGAGAAAUUAUAUAGCUGUUGUGGUGAAAAUUCCUAUUUAUGGUUAAAUAAAUCAUGUUGUUUCUGCUUUGUUAAUAACCAUGCCUACUAUGAUCCUGCGCUUCUUACUCUUUGUGUAGGCUUGCUGCCAAAACAACAAACUUAACAUGUGCUUGAUUAACUCAGUCAAGCUAUUGUUGUAGUUGUCUGAUGUAUGAAAGUGUAAUGUUCUCC
rnacentral:rRNA from 1 species